rnacentral:rRNA from 1 species
UACAUGGGGUGCAAACGUUGCUCGGAAUUAUUGGGCGUAAAGGGUGCGUAGGUGGCAUGGUAAGUCGGAUGUGAAAUCCCGGGGCUUAACCCCGGAACUGCAUUCGAUACUGCCAGGCUAGAGUACUGGAGAGGAGAUUGGAAUUUACGGUGUAGCAGUGAAAUGCGUAGAUAUCGUAAGGAAGACCAGUGGCGAAGGCGGAUCUCUGGACAGUUAUUGACACUGAGGCACGAAGGCCAGGGGAGCAAACGGG